rnacentral:lncRNA from 1 species
UGUGAAUGUACCAGUUGGAUGUAAGAUAUCGGGGACGAUGAGUCGUCGGCCAUGGCGGUCGAAAAGCACACACCAAGCCACCUAAUUAACUUGUUCGUCGGCGCACAGAUGGAGCAGAUAACAGACGGUAGUAGCUUCCGCAGCUCACUCAAGAACCACUAACUUCAGACUUGACAGUAAAGAACAAUACACAAAAACGAACCUGAAUCAGAGCAAAAGAAAUGUUGUGAGUCUAAAGAUCCAACUCUACUGCAUAAGAAACUCACAACAAUGGAUCCAGCUCUAUUUUAAAUCCAUUUCUCACCAUGGAUCCAGCUCUACUUCAAAUCAAUUUGAUUGCACACGCAUUCAAACUGAACCAAACCAAGAUGUGCAUCAUUUUAAAACGGAAUCAAAUUGCACAAUGACAAUCAACACCUCCAAAACAACAAUAUAUUACUGUUACUCAUGCAUCUUCAGUACAAUCUUCAGUAGCUCAAUUAACCACUAACUUACUGUAACUUAGGCACCAUAUAUACAGGGUAUAAAAACAGAAUUGCAGAGCACUUGCAGACUUCUACUGUAUCACACUACAGACUUGGAGGAGGAGGGACACUUGUGCAUACAUUUUCAUUUUGUGACCAUCAACCAAUGUUACUCAGUACCCAUAGAAAUAUAACUUACUGUAGCCAGAACCCAUAUGAAGUUUUCCCGUGAAUGCAAAACCAAGUGGCGGAGGUAGAGGAACAAUGAAUUUACUUCAUAAACCAAUUCAAAUCAGUAAUGUUGAGAAAGUUAACCUGAGUAUUAAACUGUAAUAUUGUGUGUGUGUGUGUGUGUGUGUGUGAUACAUGAUCAUCAGAUAAUUAAGGGUCACACGAUGUGCUCAGUAUAAAGAUUAUGCCCAAUCAUAUACACAGUUGCCUAUUUUUGCAAGAACAAAAUAGACUAUUGCUACAGGAGAUAGAAGUGAAAAAACUUCAUCAUCGGCACACAAUAUAUACAAUGUUCGGAAACAUAGAGAAGAAAUGCAGUCAAUGUUCUUAAUAUAUCAAUAGAGAAGAUCACCUGCAUGGCGUGUUGCGGAUGAAUCAGGUGAGAAGGGUGCCGAUAGGGCUGCGACCACAUUAUCCUUCUUCCCUCCUCUCAGCGCAUAACAAAGAUUAGGAACUGAGAUUGUGGAGUGUGCCUACUGCAUUGCAGAACAAAUGAGAGAACUGGUUCCGUGAUAGCCUGCAGCUGCUCCUGGUCCUAAGAAAAACGGAAAUAUAAUCAAUUUCCUCUGUUUUUGCCCUAUGGUCAAUAUGAAUAUUUAUGUAAUGCUUCUGCUUAUUGAAAAUGGCAUGCACAACUAUUUAAAUAAUGAACUCCUCAUCAUGGGGAGGCAGAUCUCUAUUAUGAGCAGAUACUCUCUUGUUCAUGAAUAGGAGUAAUUCACAUGAUUAGAGUACAAAACGGGUGCUAUAAGACAAUGUAUAAGAAAAACAGCUACAACAGCAGGGUUGCACAAGCUACCUCAAAAUUGUCAGCAUAAUAUGGCAUUGAAGAAACAGCUACCAACUGACUUGUAUCAUGGGGACAGGUCGGUAUAUAAAACUGACUUGUUCAUAGACAUUUAUCCAAAUGAGGGUUACAGACUUCAUUCUUAGAAAAGAGCAGAUGUACAUUAUCAUUUGUGGCGAGUAUUGUUGGGGAACGUAGUAAUUUCAAAAAUUUCCUACGCACACGCAAGAUCAUGGUGAUGCAUAGCAAUGAGAGGGGAGAGUGUUGUCCACGUACCCUCGUAGACCGAAAGCGGAAGCGUUAGCACAACGCGGUUGAUGUAGUCGUAUGUCUUCACGAUCCGACCGAUCAAGUACCGAACACACGGCACCUCCGAGUUCAGCACACGUUCAGCUCGAUGACGUCCCUCGAACUCCGAUCCAGCCGAGCUUUGAGGGAGAGUUCUGUCAGCACGACGGCAUGGUGACGAUGAUGAUGUUCUACCGACGCAGGACUUCGCCUAAGCACCGCUACGAUAUUAUCGAGGUGUAAUAUGGUGGAGGGGGGCACCGCACACGGCUAAGAGAUCAAUGAUCAAUUGUUGUGUCUAUGGGGUGCCCCCUGCCCCCGUAUAUAAAGGAGCAAGGGGGAAGGCGGCCGGCCAAGGAGGAGGGCGCGCCAAGGGGGGAGUCCUACUCCCACCGGGAGUAGGACUCCUCCUUUCCUUGUUGGAGUAGGAGAGAAGGAAAGAGGGGGAGAGGGAGAAGGAAAAGGGGGUUGCACCCCUUGUCCAAUUCGGACCAGAGGGGGUGCACGCCUCCUUCCUUUUGGCCUCUCUCCUCUAUUCCCGUAUGGCCCAAUAAGGCCCAAUACUUCUCCCCGGCGAAUUCCCGUAACUCUCCGGUACUCCGAUAAAUACCCGAAUCACUGGGAACCUUUCCGAAGUCCGAAUAUAGUCAUCCAAUAUAUCGAUCUUUACGUCUCGGCCAUUUCGAGACUCCUCGUCAUGUCCCCGAUCUCAUCCGGGACUUCGAACUACCUUCCGUACAUCAAAACACAUAAACUCAUAAUAUAACCGUCAUCGAACUUUAAGCGUGCGGACCCUACGGGUUCGAGAACUAUGUAGACAUGACCGAGACACGUCUCCGGUCAAUAACCAAUAGCGGAACCUGGAUGCUCAUAUUGGCUCCCACAUAUUCUACGAAGAUCUUUAUCGGUCAGACCGCAUAACAACAUAUGUUGUUCCCUUUGUCAUCGGUAUGUUACUUGCACGAGAUUCGAUCGUCGGUAUCUCAGUACCUAGUUCAAUCUUGUUACCGACAAGUCUCUUUACUCGUUCCAUAAUACAUCAUCCCACAACUAACUCUUUAGUUGCAAUGCUUGCAAGGCUUAAGUGAUGUGCAUUACCGAGAGGGCCCAGAGAUACCUCUCCGACAAUCGGAGUGACAAAUCCUAAUCUCGAAAUACGCCAAUCCAACAAGUACCUUCGGAGACACCUGUAGAGCACCUUUAUAAUCACCCUGUUACGUUGUGACGUUCGGUAGCACACAAAGUGUUCCUCCGGUAAACGGGAGUUGCAUAAUCUCAUAGUCAUAGGAACAUGUAUAAGUCAUGAAGAAAGCAAUAGCAGAAUACUAAACGAUCGUGUGCUAAGCUAACGGAAUGGGUCAAGUCAAUCACAUCAUUCUCCUAAUGAUAUGAUCCCGUUAAUCAAAUGACAACUCAUGUCUAUGGCUAGGAAACAUAACCAUCUUUGAUCAACGAGCUAGUCAAGUAGAGGCAUACUAGUGACACUCUGUUUGUCUAUGUAUUCACACAUGUAUCAGGUUUCCGGUUAAUAUAAUUCUAGCAUGAAUAAUAAACAUUUAUCAUGAUAUAAGGAAAUAAAUAAUAACUUUAUUAUUGCCUCUAGGGCAUAUUUCCUUCAGUCUCCCACUUGCACUAGAGUCAAUAAUCUAGUUCACAUCGCCAUGUGAUUUAACAUCAAUAGUUCACAUCACCAUGUGAUUAACACCCAUAGUUCACAUCGUCAUGUGACCAACACCCAAAGGGCUUACUAGAGUCAAUAAUCUAGUUCACAUCGCUAUGUGAUUAACACCCAAAGAGUACUAAGGUGUGAUCAUGUUUUGCUUGUGAGAUAAUUUUAGUCAACGGGUCUGUCACAUUCAGAUCCGUAAGUAUUUUGCAAAUUUUAUGUCUACAAUGCUCUGCACGGAGCUACUCUAGCUAAUUGCUCCCACUUUCAAUAUGUAUCUAGACCGAGACUUAGAGUCAUCUAGAUUUGUGUCAAAACUUGCAUCGACGUAACCCUUUACGACGAAACUUUUUGUCACCCCCAUAAUCAAGAAACAUAUCCUUAUUCCAUUAAGGAUAAUUUUGACCGCUGUCCAGUGAUCUACUCUAGAUCACUAUUGUACUCCCUUGCCAAAAUCAGUGUAGGGUAUACAAUGAUCUGGUACACAGCAUGGCAUACUUUAUAGAACCUAUGGCUGAGGCAUAGGGAAUGACUUUCAUUCUCUUUCUAUCUUCUGCCGUGGUCAGGUUUUGAGUCUUACUCAAUUUCACACCUUGUAACACAGGCAAGAAUCUUUCUUUGACUGUUCCAUUUUGAACUACUUCAAAAUCUUGUCAAGGUAUGUACUCAUUGAAAAAACUUAUCAAGCGUCUUGAUCUAUCUCUAUAGAUCUUGAUGCUCAAUAUGUAAGCAGCUUCACCGAGGUCUUUCUUUGAAAAACUCCUUUCAAACAAUCCUUUAUGCUUUGCAGAAUAAUUCUACAUUAUUUCCGAUCAACAAUAUGUCAUUCACAUAUACUUAUCAGAAAUGUUGUACUGCUCCCACUCACUUUCUUGUAAAUACAGGCUUCACCGCAAGUCUGUAUAAAACUAUAUGCUUUGAUCAACUUAUCAAAGCGUAUAUUCCAGCUCCGAGAUGCUUGCACCAGUCCAUAGAUGGAUCGCUGGAGCUUGCAUAUUUUGUUAGCACCUUUAGGAUUGACAAAACCUUCUGGUUGCAUCAUAUACAACUCUUCUUUAAUAAAUCCAUUAAGGAAUGCAGUUUUGUUUAUCCAUUUGCCAGAUUUCAUAAAAUGCGGCAAUUGCUAACAUGAUUCGGAUAGACUUAAGCAUCGCUGCGAGUGAGAAAAUCUCAUCGUAGUCAACACCUUGAACUUUGUCAAAAACCUUUUUCUACAAGUCUAGCUUUGUAGAUAGUAACACUACUAUCAGCGUCCGUUUUCCUCUUGAAGAUCCAUUUAUUUUCUAUGGCUUGCCGAUCAUCGGGCAAGUCAACCAAAGUCCACACUUUGUUCUCAUACAUGGAUCCAUCUCAGAUUUCAUGGCCUCAAGCCAUUUUGCGGAAUCUGGGCUCACUAUCGCUUCCUCAUAGUUCGUAGGUUCUUCAUGGUCAAGUAACAUGACCUCCAGAACAGGAUUACCGUACCACUCUGGUGCGGAUCUCACUCUGGUUGACCUACGAGGUUCGGUAGUAACUUGAUCCGAAGCUUCAUGAUCAUCAUCAUUAACUUCCUCACUAAUUGGUGUAAGCAUCACUGGAAUUGAUUUCAGUGAUGAACUACUUUCCAAUUUGGGAGAAGGUACAGUUACCUCAUCAAGUUCUACUUUCCUCCCACUCACUUCUUUCGAGAGAAACUCCUUCUCUAGAAAGGAUCCAUUCUUGGCAACGAAUUUGCCUUCGGAUCUGUGAUAGAAGAUAUACCCAAUAGUCACCUUUGGGUAUCCUAUAAAGACGCAUUUCUCCGAUUUGGGUUCAAGCUUAUCAUGUUGAAACUUUUUCACAUAAGCAUCGCAACCCCAAACUUUACGAAACGACAACUUUGGUUUCUUGUCAAACCACAGUUCAUAAGGUGUCAUCUCAACGGAUUUAGAUGGUGCCCUUUUUAACGUGAAUGCAGCUGUCUCUAAUGCAUAACCCCAAAACGAUAGUGGUAGAUUGGUAAGAAACAUCAUAGACCGCACCAUAUCUAAUAAAGUACGGUUAUGACGUCCGGACACACCAUUAUGUUGUGGUUCCAGGUGGCAUGAGUUUGUGAAACUAUUCUACAUUGUUUUAAUUGAAGACCAAACUCGUGACUCAAAUAUUUUCCUCCACGAUCAGAUCGUAGAAACUUUAUUUUCUUGUUACGAUGAUUUUCUACUUCACUCUGAAAUUAUAUGAACUUUUCAAAUGUUUCAGACUUAUGUUUCAUCAAGUAGAUAUACUCAUAUCUGAUCAAAUCAUCUGUGAAGGUCAGAAAAUAAUGAUACCCACCGCGAGCCUCAACACUCAUCGGAUUGCAUACAUCAGUAUGUAUUAUUUCCAAUAAGUCAGUUGCUCGCUCCAUUGUUCCGGAGAACGGAGUCUUAGUCAUCUUGCCCAUAAGGCAUGGUUCGCAAGCAUCAAGUGAUUCCAAAAUCCCAUCAGCAUGGAGUUUCUUCAUGUGCUUUACUCCAAUAUGACUUAAACGGCGGUGCCACAAAUAAGUUGUACUAUCAUUAUUAACUUUGCAUCUUUUGGCUUCAAUAUUAUGAAUAUGUGUAUCACUACGAUCGAGAUCCAACAAAUCAAUUUCACUGGGUGUAUGACCAUAGAAGGUUUUAUUCAUGUAAACAGAACAACAAUUAUUCUCUAACUUAAAUGAAUAACCGUGUUGCAAUAAACAUGAUCAAAUCAUAUUCAUGCUCAAUGCAAACACCAAAUAACACUUAUUUAGGUUCAACACUAAUCUCGAAAGUACAGGGAGUGUGCGAUGAUGAUCAUAUCAAUCUUGGAACUACUUCCAACACACAUCGUCACCUCGCCCUUAACUAGUUUCUGUUCAUUCUGCAAUUCCCGUUUCGAGUUACUACUCUUAGCAACUGAACCAGUAUCAAAUACCGAGGGGUUGCUACGAACACUAGUAAAAUACACAUCAAUAAUCUGUAUAUCAAAUAUACCUUUGUUCACUUUGCCAUCCUUCUUAUCCACCAAAUAUUUGGGGCAGUUCCGCUUCCAGUGACUAGUCCCUUUGCAGUAGAAGCACUUAGUCUCAGGCUUAGGUCCAGACUUGGGCUUCUUCACUUGAGCAGCAACUUGCUUGCCGUUCUUCUUGAAGUUCCCCUUCUAUCCCUUUGCCCUUUUCUUGAAACUAGUGGUCUUCUUAACCAUCAACACUUGAUGCUCUUUCUUGAUUUCUACCUUCGUCGAUUUCAGCAUCGCGAAGAGCUCGGGAAUUACUUUCGUCAUCCCUUGCAUACUAUAGUUCAUCACGAAGUUCUACUAACUUGGUGAUGGUGACUAGAGAAUUCUGUCAAUCACUAUUUUAUCUGGAAGAUUAACUCCCACUUGAUUCAAGCGAUUGUAGUACCCAAACAAUCUGAGCACAUGCUCACUGCCUGAGCUAUUCUCCUCCAUCUUUUAGCUAUAGAACUUGUUGGAGACUUCAUAUCUCUCAACUCGGGUAUUUGCUUGAAAUAUUAACUUCAACUCCUGGAACAUCUCAUAUGGUCCAUGACGUUCAAAACGUCUUUGAAGUCCCGAUUCUAAGCCGUUAAGCAUGGUGCACUAAACUAUCAAGUAGUCAUCAUAUUGAGCUAGCCAAACGUUCAUAACGUCUGCAUCUGCUCCUGCAAUAGGUCUGUCACCUAGCGGUGCAUCAAGGACAUAAUUCUUCUGUGCAGCAAUGAGGAUAAUCCUCAGAUCACGGAUCCAAUCCGCAUCUUUGCUACUAACAUCUUUCAACAUAAUUUUUCUCUAGGAACAUAUCAAAAAUAAACACAAGGAAGCAACAACGCGAGCUAUUGAUCUACAACAUAAUUUGCAAAAUACUAUCAGGACUAAGUUCAUGAUAAAUUUAAGUUCAAUUAAUCAUAUUACUUAAGAACUCCCACUUAGAUAGACAUCCCUCUAAUCAUCUAAGUGAUCACGUGAUCCAAAUCAACUAAACCAUAACCGAUCAUCACGUGAAAUGGAGUAGUUUUCAAUGGUGAACAUCACUAUGUUGAUCAUAUCUAUUAUAUGAUUCACGCUCGACCUUUCAGUCUCAGUGUUCCGAGGCCAUAUCUGCAUAUGCUAGGCUCGUCAAGUUUAACCUGAGUAUUCUGCGUGUGCAAAACUGGCUUGCACCUGUUGUAGAUGGACGUAGAGCUUAUCACACCCGCUCAUCACGUGGUGUCUGGGCACGACAAACUUUGGCAACGGUGCAUACUCAGGGAGAACACUUUUAUCUUGAAAUUUAGUGAGAGAUCAUCUUAUAAUGCUACCGUCAAUCAAAGCAAGAUAAGAUGCAUAAAAGAUAAACAUCACAUGCAAUCAAUAUAAGUGAUAUGAUAUGGCCAUCAUCAUCUUGUGCUUGUGAUCUCCAUCUCCGAAGCACCGUCAUGAUCCCCAUCGUCACCGGCGCGACACCUUGAUCUCCAUCGUAGCAUCGUUGUCGUCCCGCCAACUAUUGCUUCUACGACUAUCGCUACCGCUUAGUGAUAAAGUAAAGCAAUUACAUGGCGAUUGCAUUGCAUACAAUAAAGCGACAACCAUAUGGCUCCUGCCAGUUGCCGAUAACUCGGUUACAAAACAUGAUCAUCUCAUACAAUAAAAUAUAGCAUCAUGCCUUGACCAUAUCACAUCACAACAUGCCCUGCAAAAACAAGUUAGACGUCCUCUACUUUGUUGUUGCAAGUUUUACGUGGCUGCUACGGGCUGAGCAAGAACCGUUCUUACCUACGCAUCAAAAACCACAACGAUAGUUUGUCAAGUUGGUGCUGUUUUAACCUUCGCAAGGACCGGGCGUAGCCACACUCGGUUCAACUAAAGUUGGAGAAACUGACACCCGCCAGCCACCUCUGUGCAAAGCACGUCGGAAGAACCAGUCUCGCGUAAGCGUACGCGUAUGUCGGUCCGGGCCGCUUCAUCCAACAAUACCGCCGAACCAAAGUAUGACAUGCUGGUAGCAGUAUGACUUAUAUCGCCCACAACUCACUUGUGUUCUACUCGUGCAUAUAACAUCAACGCAUAAAACCUGGCUCGGAUGCCACUGUUGGUGAAUGUAGUAAUUUCAAAAAUUUCCUACGCACACGCAAGAUCAUGGUGAUGCAUAGCAACGAGAGGGGAGAGUGUUGUCCACGUACCCUCGUAGACCGAAAGCGGAAGCGUUAGCACAACGCGGUUGAUGUAGUCGUAUGUCUUCACGAUCCGACCGAUCAAGUACCGAACACACGGCACCUCCGAGUUCAGCACAUGUUCAGCUCGAUGACGUCCCUCGAACUCCGAUCCAGCCGAGCUUUGAGGGAGAGUUCCGUCAGCACGACGGCGUGGUGACGAUGAUGAUGUUCUACCGACGCAGGGCUUCGCCUAAGCACCGCUACGAUAUUAUCGAGGUGUAAUAUGGUGGAGGGGGACACCGCACACGGCUAAGAGAUUAAUGAUCAAUUGUUGUGUCUAUGGGGUGCCCCCUGCCCCCGUAUAUAAAGGAGCAGGGGGGAGGCGGCCGGCCAAGGAGGAGGGCGCGCAAAGGGGGGAGUCCUACUCCCACCGGGAGUAGGACUCCUCCUUUCCUUGUUGGAGUAGGAGAGAAGGAAAGAGGGGGAGAGGGAGAAGGAAAAGGGGGCUGCACCCCUUGUCCAAUUCGGACCAGAGGGGGGGUGCACGCCUCCUUCAUUUUGUCCUCUCUCCUCUAUUCCCGUAUGGCCCAAUAAGGCUCAAUACUUCUCCCCGGCGAAUUCCCGUAACUCUCCGGUACUCCGAUAAAUACCCGAAUCACUCGGAACCUUUCCGAAGUCCGAAUAUAGUCGUCCAAUAUAUCGAUCUUUACGCCUCGUCCAUUUUGAGACUCCUCGUCAUGUCCCCGAUCUCAUCUGGGACUCCGAACUACCUUCAGUACAUCAAAACACAUAAACUCAUAAUAUAACCGUCAUCGAACUUUAAGCGUGCGGACCCUACGGGUUCGAGAACUAUGUAGACAUGACCGAGACACGUCUCCGGUCAAUAACCAAUAGCGGAACCUGGAUGCUCAUAUUGGCUCCCACAUAUUCUACGAAGAUCUUUAUCGGUCAGACCGCAUAACAACAUACGUUGUUCCCUUUGUUAUCGGUAUGUUACUUGCCCGAGAUUCGAUCGUCGGUAUCUCAGUACCUAGUUCAAUCUCGUUACCGGCAUGUCUCUUUACUUGUUCCGUAAUACAUCAUCCCACAACUAACUCUUUAGUUGCAAUGCUUGCAAGGCUUAAGUGAUGUGCAUUACCGAGAGGGCCCAGAGAUACCUCUCCGACAAUCGGAGUGACAAAUCCUAAUCUCGAAAUACGCCAACCCAACAAGUACCUUCGAAGACACCUGUAGAGCACCUUUAUAAUCACCCUGUUACGUUGUGACGUUCGGUAGCACACAAAGUGUUCCUCCGGUAAACGGGAGUUGCAUAAUCUCAUAGUCAUAGGAACAUGUAUAAGUCAUGAAGAAAACAAUAGCAGAAUACUAAACGAUUGUGUGCUAAGCUAACGGAAUGGGUCAAGUCAAUCACGUCAUUCUCCUAAUGAUAUGAUCCCGUUAAUCAAAUGACAACUCAUGUCUAUGGCUAGGAAACAUAACCAUCUUUGAUCAACGAGCUAGUCAAGUAGAGGCAUACUAGUGGCACUCUGUUUGUCUAUGUAUUCACACAUGUAUCAGGUUUCCGGUUAAUACAAUUGUAGCAUGAAUAAUAAACAUUUAUCAUGAUAUAAGGAAAUAAAUAAUAACUUUAUUAUUGCCUCUAGGGCAUAUUUCCUUCAAGUAUUUCUAUUACAGAAAAUUAUAAUCAAAGACAACACAAUAAGCAGUCCAUGCAUACAAAAAAUAGAGUAUAGAAGUGGAAGCUGAACUAAAAGUGCAAUGGACAGUGGCAUGAGGUGAUAAUACCCUCCAUUAACCAGACCUUCCAGUUUGAGGAUUAUUAGUGUGAUAGGUAUCUACCGCACAACCCUGCGAUGUGUAACCUGAGGUCCCUGACCAAAGAAACCAGCAGCGGCUCUCUCAACAAAAUUUGGGUCCAAAAUACCAAAUGGGUUGCCCAUAGGUCAGCUAAAUAUGGGAUCAAAUGGUUCAUCCAGAUCCAUCAUGUCAGCAUGACUGUCGGGUAUUGAAUUCUGAUGGAUUCUUGUGCUGAAAAUCAUAAAGCUUGGUUACACUUCAUAAAGUGAAUUUCAUGGGUGUUAGGACAGUAAAGGCAAAGGAAACUCACACAUUACUUAACUAUCCUUUUGGGGUCAUCACAAUGUUGCUUGCCUAUUCUGUUUGAAGCAAAUCUACGUACACAAGUGUCUACAUUAACCAUUUAUGUUUUCCUUUACUACUGUUGUUAAAGGUAACAGUUUUUAUUCUGAUGACAACCCAAAUAAUCUUAGCAACCAGGUGAGUUUCAAUCGAAGCUGAGAAGGGGAUAGUGACUGCUUACAUCAAGACAGAAUCCCAAAUUGCUUGCGGGAGCACCAAGCUAUCCUAGCAACAGAACAACGCAAUUAGAACCUCUUCGAAUCUUCAUCAAAUUUUUAACUGAAUGUAGAUACGAUGAGCCAGAGGAGAAUCAAUGGCUUACUGCUAGUUCCUGGAGGAGG